rnacentral:lncRNA from 1 species
CUUCCGCCCGAAAGCGCCGGUGCACCCCGCAGGCCCUGCCCGUGGGUCCACAGGCCGGAUCCCCGGGUUCCUAGGCUGGGACUGCUUCUCAGAACCACUCUGUCGUUUUUAAGCAGGGUCACACACUCUAGCUCACUGGGUCCAUUUUAAUUUCUAUUAAACAUUUUUUUUUUUUUGCAAAUGAUGUAGUAGGAGAUCCAAGGUGUUUGGUUAAUGAUUUAUUCACUCAUUAGUCAUUCCACAAACUUGUCUUGAGCACCUGUUAUGUACCCAGCACUGUGCUGGAAUGCUGAGGAGACAGGAGUGAAGUAAAAAGACAUGGUUCCGGCAGGAAACAGGCAAGGAGAGCCUUGACUUGGUAGGGCUAACACAGUGCUACACAGGAGGGACGCCCGCUCGGUGUCGGGGGUCAGCAAAGCUUCCUUAAGGACCACUAGGUUGAGACAAGAAGGAUGAGUAUGGGAUUAGCCAGGAAAGGGAAAAGGGCAGUGGGAACUGGAAGAGAAGAGCCUUCUAGGACUGGGAAAGAGCAAGUGCCGGGUCAGGAGAGAGGACAUAGCAGUGAGGAGGCAGUAGGUAUGGAUGAAUGAGCAGAGGAAGUGGGGAGAGAUUAAGGUGCUUUCAGAAACGGGUUGGAAACCAGUUUAGUGAGUUUGGAUGGCAUUUACCUAAAGGCAAUGUUAGAGUCAUCGAAAGUUUUUAAUCAGGCAAGUGGUAUGAUCAGUUUUUUGUUUUGUUUUGUUUUUUUUGAGACGGAGUCUGGCUAUAUCGCCAGGCUGGAAUGCAAUGGCGCGAUCUCUCCUCACUGCAACCUCCGCCUCCCGGGUUCAAGCGAUUCUCCUGCCUCAGCACCUCGAGUAGCUGGGACUACAGGCGCGCGCCACCACGCCCAGUAAGAGGAAAUAACUCUACAUUCAAAUUUGAGCAGGGCACUUGGUGACCUACUUAGACAUGACAUUCCUUGGCCUCCCUUUCAGCAAGGUAAGGCUAUAUCAAAAAGUUAUGUCCUGUAAGAUGUGAGUAGAACUGGAUCAUGUCCCUUAAAAGGAAAGCUGCUUGCUAUACACUUUCUCUUCCCUCUUCUUGCUGUCUGGCAAAUGGCAAAAAGAAAUACAGACUGGAAAUGGAAGCCAUGUAUUAAGGAAGGCAAAGCUGUUCUCACUAGCCUAAGUCCCAAACUAAUCUCAGGGAGCUGGGGCACCUCCUCCCUUGGAUCAACCACAGACUUCUGGACCAUUAUGCAAGAGAAAAUAAACUUUGUUCUUUAAAAAAUCAUUGUUUGUUUGGACCUGGUAGAGCAGCUUAGCCAAUUCCCUAAUUAAAACAGAGGGGCUCUGUCUAUUUUAUUCUCUGCUUAAUCACCAGGAUGUAAAACAGUACCUAAUAAAUGUGGUAAAUAAAAAUGUAUUGAAUAAAUCCUAAAACAACGUAUUUAUUCUACAUCCUCCUCCAGCUAAUGUCCCUUUUUCAACUUUCUUUUCCACUCAAGCUUUGUGAAAGUAUAUAUUUUUUCAUAUUGCCACUAAUUCUUCUAAAGCCCCUCACAGGAAUAAGUGACACCUUUCUCAGUCUUUUUGGAAACUGAUUCCCCUUCUCUACUAAACCAAGAUCCUUGCAGGUAGCAAUCUUUUAGCAUGGAACUUUGGAUUUCCCUUAGCACCUGUUGCAUAGGUAUCCAAAAAAUAUUUACUGAGUUGAGUGAGUGCUUUGUAUCUUUGGAAACAGUAAACCGUAGCAGAGAACUUGACAGACUGGUCUGAGAUUACACUAGUUGCCUUUACUAAACAUGCGUUUUACAAUAGAUCCUAGGGCCACUGUAGUUCAGUCUCGGUAUUUUGUUUGUUUUUAAUUUAAGCUUUUGUAUUCCUAAUAGGAUUUUUUUAUUGUUGUUUUUUUGAGAUGGAGCCUCGCUCUGUCGCCCAGGCUGGAGUGCUGUGGUGUAGUCUCAACUCACCACAAUCACUGCCUCCCAGGUUCAAGUGAUUCUCCUGCCUCAGCCUCCUGAGUAGCUGGGAUUACAGGCAUGCGCCACCAUGCCUGGCUAAUUUUUAUAUUUUCAGUAGAGAUGGGAUUUCACCAUGUUGGCCAGGCUGGUCUCGAACUCCUGACCUCAAGUGAUCUGCCUGCCUCAUCCUCCCAAAGUGCUGGGAUUACAGGCAUGAGCCACUGCGCUUGGCCAGGAUGUUCUUUUUAAGAUUCUUCAUUUAUGUUGUGGUGAUCCAGGAGAGGAUUUUUGUUGUGGUUUUAAAACCAGAAGGAUUGCAGUUGAAGGACAGCGAAUUUCUUUCUUAUUUACAGCUGCUCCUGGCAGCAAUUCAGUUACUACAGUACUGGAACAUUUUGUGAAGUCUGUGACUGGCUAAUCCCAAUUCUUUUUAUUUCCACAUGCACAAAAUCAGUCUGUACCUGAGAGCAAGUUUUGCUUUUAGAUGGAGGCUGGGCAGGUAUCAAGCUGAAAUGAAGCCCUGUAAACAUGUGCCAUGGCUUAGGUAAUCUUUUCACAUAGGUUGAAGAUCAGAAGAUCAGAGAUAUCUUAAAAUAAUGGCCUUCAAAAACUUUUCUAGAAUAUCCCCAAAUAAAUUUUUUAAAUCAAUGCAUUUCUUCAUGCAUUUUGGGAUUACACCUAACAUUGUCAAAACAAAUUUACAUAGUUGUCAAGUAUAUGAUUUGUAAUAUUUUUUAAAUCUUUAAAUUAUAAGCAAAACAGGGCUGGGUGUGGUGGCUCAUGCUUGUAAUCCCAGCACUUUGAGAGGCCGAGGCAGGUGGAUCACCUGAGGUCAGAAGUUCAGGACUAGUCUGGCCAACAUGGUGAAAGCCCGUCUCUAUUAAAAAUACAAAAAUUAGCAAGGCAUGGUGGUGCGCACUUGUAGUCCCAGCUACUUGGGAGGCUGAGGCAGGAAAAUCGCUUGAAUGCGGGAGGCAGAGGUUGCAGUGAGUCAAGACUAUGCCACUGCACUCCAGCCUGGGCAACAGAGUGAGACUCUGUCUCCAAAAAAAAAAAAAAAAAAAAAAGUUUUUGGAAAAAUUUGACAAAGCAUAUCAUGUGAAUUCAGAUUUACCUCAAUACCAAGAAUUAUGUUUAAAUAGGACAAGGAAGAUUUUUUAAGUUUUUAUUUUAAGUUUAGGGGUACAUGUGCAGGUUUGCCAUAUAGGUAAACUCAUGUUAUGGGGGUUUGUUAUAUAGAUUAUUUAGUUACUCAGGGAUUAAGCCUAGUACCUGUUAUUUUCCCUGAUUCUCUCCCUUGUCUCACCCUCCACCCCUGGUAGGCCCUAAUGUCUGUUGUUUCCCUCUAUGCGUCCAUGUGUUCUCAUCUUUUAGCUUCCGCUUAUAAAUGAGAACAUGCGAUAUUUGGUUUUUUGUUCCUGCAUUAGUUUGCUAAGGAUAAUGGCCUCCAGGUCCAUCCAUGUUCCUGCAGGGGACAUGAUCUCAUUCUUUUUUACGGCUGCAUAGUAUUCCAUGGUGUAUAUUUACCACAUUUCUUUUAACCAGUCUACCAUUGAUGGCCACUUAGGUUGAUUCCAUGUCUUUGUUAUUGUGAAUAGUGCCACGACAAACAGACAUGUGCAUGUGUCUUUAUAAUAGAAUGAUUUAUAUUCUUUUGGGUAUAUACCCAGUAAUGGGAUUGCUGGGUCAAAUGAUAGUUCUGUUUUUAGGUCUUUGAGGAGUCGCCACACUGUUUUCCACCAUGGGUGAACUAAAUUAUAUUCUCACUAACAGUGUAUAAGCAUUCUUUUUUCUCUGCAACCUUGCCAGCAUCUGUUAUUUUUUGACUUUUCAGUAAUAGUCAUUCUGACUGGGGUGAGAUGGUACCUCGUUGUGGUUUUGAUUUGCAUUUCUCUAAUGAUCAGUAAUGUUGAGCUUUUUUUUUUCAUAUACUUGUUGGCCACAUGUAUGUCUUCUCUGGAAAAGUGUCUGUUUAUGUCCUUUGCCCACUUUUUAAUAGGGUUUUUGUUUUUUGCUUGUAAAUUUGUUUAAGUUCCUUAUAGACGCUGGAUAUUAGACUUCCGUCAGUUGCAUAGUUUGCAAAAUUUUCUCCCAUUCUGCAGGUUGUCUGUUUAUUAUGUUGAUAGUUUCUUUUGCUGCACAGAAGCUCUUUAGUUGAAUUAGGUCUCAUUUGUCAAUGUUUGCUUUCAUUGCAGUUGUGUUUGGUGUCUUUGUCAUGAAAUCUUUGUCUAUUCCUAUGUCCAGAAUAGUAUUGCCUAGGUUGUCUUCCAGGGGUUUUGGGUUUUACAUUUAAGUCUUUAAUCCACCUUGAGUUAAUUUUUGUAUAUGAUAUAAGGAAGGGGUCCAGUUUCAAUCUUCUGCAUAUAGCUAGCCAGUUAUCUCAGCACCAUUUAUUGAAUAGGGAGUCCCUUCCCCAUUGCUUAUUUUUGUCAGCUUUGUUGAAGAUCAGAUGGUUGUAAGUAUGCAGCUAUAUUUUUGGGCUGUCUGUUCUGUUCCAUUUGUCAAUGUGUCUGUUUUUGUACCCAUACCUUUCUGUUUUGGUUACUGUAGCCCUGUAGUAUAGUUUGAAGUCAGGUAGCAUGCUGCCUUCAGCUUUGCUCUUGUUGCUCAGGAGUGCUUUGGCUAUUCAGGCUCUUUUUUGGUUCCAUAUGAAUUUUAAAAUAGUUUUUUUCUAGUUCUGGGAAGAAUGUCAUUGGUAGUUUGAUAGUAAUAACAUUGAAUCUCUAAAUUGCUUUGGGCAGUAUGGUCAUUUUAACAAUAUUGAUUCUUCCUAUCCAUGAGCAAGGAACAUUUUUUUCAUUUGUUUGUGUCAUCUCUGAUUUCUUUGAGCAGUGUUUUGUAGUUCUCCUAGGAAAGAUAUUUUAUUCUUUUUUUUUUGGUAAUUGUGAAUGAGAUUGUGUUUGUGAUUUGGCUCUUGGCUUGACUGUUGUUGGUGUAUAGAAAUGCUAUUGAUUUUUGUACAUUGAUUCUGUAUCCUGAGACUUUACUGAAGUCAUUUAUAAGCUGAAGGAACUUUUGUGUAAAGACUAUGGGGUUUUCUACAUAUAGAAUCAAGUCAUCUGUAAACAGGGAUAAUUUGACUUCUCUUCCUAUUUGGAUGCCCUUUCUUUCUUUCUCUUGCCUGAUUGCUGUAGCUAGGACUUGCAAUACUAUGUUGGAUAGGAGUGGUGAUGGAGGGCAUCUUGUCUUGUGCUGAUUUUCAAGGGGAGUGCUUCCAGCUUUUGCCCAUUCGGUAUCAUGUUGGCUGUGGGUUUGUCAUAGAUGGCUCUUAUUAUUUUGAAGUAUGUUCCUUCCAUACCUAGUUUAUUGAGAGUUUUUUAACAUGAAGCAGUGUUGAAUUUUAAUGAAAGCCUUUUCUGCAUCCAUUGAGAUAAUCAUGUGGUUUUUGUCUUUAGUUCCAUUUAUGAGACAAAUCACAUUUAUUGAUUUGCGUAUGUUGAACCAACCUUGCAUUGCAGAGAUAAAACCUAUUUUAUCAUGGUAGAUAAGCUUUUCAAUGUUCUUCUGGAUUUGGUUUGCCAGUAUUUUGUUGAGGAUUUUUGCAUCAAGGUUCAUCAAGGAUAUUGACCUGAAGUUUUCUUUUUUUGUU